rnacentral:rRNA from 1 species
UACGUAGGUGGCAAGCGUUGUCCGGAAUUAUUGGGCGUAAAGCGCGCGCAGGUGGUUUCUUAAGUCUGAUGUGAAAGCCCACGGCUCAACCGUGGAGGGUCAUUGGAAACUGGGGAACUAGAGUGCAGAAGAGGAAAGUGGAAUUCCAAGUGUAGCGGUGAAAUGCGUAGAGAUUUGGAGGAACACCGGUGGCGAAGGCGGCAUCCUGGACCGAGAUUGACGCUGAGGCGCGAAAGCCAGGGGAGCAAACGGG